ACGCUAGCGGCAGGCCUAAUACAUGCAAGUCGAGGGGUAGAGUUAGCUUGCUAGCUUGAGACCGGCGCACGGGUGCGUAACGCGUAUGCAACCUACCUUAAUCAGGGGGAUAGCCCGAAGAAAUUCGGAUUAACACCGCAUAAAAUCACAGAAUAGCAUUAUUCAAUGAUCAAAUAUUUAUAGGAUUAAGAUGGGCAUGCGUGUCAUUAGCUAGUUGGCGGGGUAACGGCCCACCAAGGCGACGAUGACUAGGGGAUCUGAGAGGAUGACCCCCCACACUGGUACUGAGACACGGACCAGACUCCUACGGGAGGCAGCAGUAAGGAAUAUUGGUCAAUGGAGGCAACUCUGAACCAGCCAUGCCGCGUGCAGGAAGACUGCCCUAUGGGUUGUAAACUGCUUUUAUCUGGGAAUAAACCUAUUUACGUGUAAAUAGCUGAAUGUACCAGAAGAAUAAGGAUCGGCUAGCUCCGUGCCAGCAGCCGCGGUAAUACGGAGGAUCCAAGCGUUAUCCGGAUUUAUUGGGUUUAAAGGGUGCGUAGGCGGCCUGUUAAGUCAGAGGUGAAAGACGGUAGCUCAACUAUCGCAGUGCCUUUGAUACUGAUGGGCUUGAAUGGACUAGAGGUAGGCGGAAUGAGACAAGUAGCGGUGAAAUGCAUAGAUAUGUCUCAGAACACCGAUUGCGAAGGCAGCUUACUAUGGUUUUAUGACGCUGAGGCACGAAAGCGUGGGGAUCAAAC
rnacentral:rRNA from 1 species